AUUAAUGAGUAAAAAAAUAACCAUUUUUUGAUCUCAUAUAAAGCUGUCAGAAAAUGUGGAAAAUUUGACAACUUGAAAUGGGUGAAAAACCACUCAUUUUGAGAAUGUUGACCAACUUCAAAAACGUUUAUUUUCAAACCCAUAAAUGGGUGAAAAAAGUCUUUGGCAGUUUUUGUUUAACAUGAAGCUGCCAGUUGCGUAUUACGGCCUUGCGGAAAUUACAAGGUUUAUUGUGACCUGAUUCUACGCGUGAACCAUGGAGCAACUUGAACGAUCGGAACCGAUGGACAAAACCAAGAUGCGGGCUGCCUAGAUUAAAGAAAAAAAUAUCAAUGUAUCAGCUCUAACUUUAAUAGAAUGUAAAAUUCAUUAAUAUAUUAAAUAAACAAAUACAUGUGAGCAUUU